UUUUUUUGAUAUUUGUAAUUAAUUCAAAACAUUUUUUUAUAAUUUUACUUUACUUUACUUGUUUUUAUAUACAAAAUUAUAUUUUAAUACUGAGUAAUACAAUUUAUAAUUUUUUUUGUUCAAACAACUUUUUUUUUUAAUUUUAAAACAUUACAAGUUUAAUUAAAAAGAAUAUACUGAUUGGAAAGUUUUGUAAUUUUUCAAAUUCCUCAAAAAAUAUUCAAAAAAAAUUUUGAAUUUUAAUAAGAAAAAUUAAAAAAAAAUUAAAAAUAUGUGGCAAGGCCUUUUUGAAUCAUAAUAUGAAUGAAACAAUUUUAUUUCAUUGCAAUACAAAUACCAAAAUAAAGAAGAAAAGUCAUAGACUUGAAAAACUUAAAAAAUAUUUAUUUCAUUGCAAUACAUUUUGGCGCCCAGUUCAAAAUUCACAUGCAUACUCCUAUUCAUAUUCAUAUUCAUAAAUCAUGUUUUUAACCGAAACCGAAUAAAAAGAAAAACAACAAUAUUUUUCAUUUCAUUCACAAUGUAAUUCUAGUUUUUAAUAAGUUACUUUUACAAUUUAACUAAUUUAGUAAUUUUUAAGUCGUAAUUUAAUUGAAAACGUUUCAAACGAAAUUUAUGUUCCCAUUUUUAACUACAUACAUAAAUGUAUUUGUUUAGUUACAUGAAAUAAACAAACAAAAACAACUAUUUUUUAUAUACCAUAUUCGAAUAUUUAAGCCAAUAAAGUUAUUUAAUUACAAUAAUACAGAAAAUAUUAUGUUCAUUAUUUCAUUGAUUUUAUAAUUUUAUUUCCAUUACAGUUUUGCUUGUUUCACACUUUUCAUUUCAUUCCAUUUCACUUAUGUCAUUCAUUAUGUUCAGUAGUUACCAGUUUUGAUUUAUGCAUACAUACAUACAUAUGUAUAUAUUUCAUACCUAAGGCUAAGCACACAGUGAAGCGUGUGCUCAACGAAAUAGGAAAAGAUUUGAAUCAUGAAAUGGAAGACCAGAAACAUAUUAUUUAAAUUCCAAGGAGUGAUAAUUUCAGUUUGGGUUACAAGAAAAUAUCAUCUGGUGAAUACAAUGGUUGAUCGAUGGUAUUCAAUUAAUUUUUGGCCGUAAAUUCGAUCACAAUCGUGGCUCGAUGCGAUAGUGCAUUAUAAAAGAACAAACUCUUUUAAGAAAUUCAUAAAGAAAAUAUUUUCGAAAAAGUUGCCAACUGUUUGAAAUUUUUUAAUCAGUUAAAUGGAAGAUUUAAAGAAUAUACUAAAACACAAGUACUAAAUUAAACAGGUUCAAGAAGGAUAUCAGUGGGCAAAACUUUUUAAAAGGGAUGCCAUCUGUCAGAAAAUUUUAUUUCAAUAAAAUUUUUAUGAAUAAACGAAAUUGUGCAGAAUCAGCUAUAAAUAAAAGCUUUUUAUAAAUAGUGUUGCCACUUAUAUUUUUAUAAGGAUUGCCAUCUGUCUGAAAAUUUUAAAUCAGCAAAAUCAUUACGAUUAACAAAACGUUGCACAAUCAGCUAUAAAUAAAUCUAUUUGUGAAUAGUGUUGCCAUCUGUCUGAAAAUUUUAAUUCAAUAAAAUUAUUAUGAAUAACAAAACAUUGCGGAACCAGCUAUAAAAAAAGCUAUUUGUGAAUAGUGUUGCCACCUAUUUACUAUUCCACAGUGAUAUUCUAUAUUCUAUGAUCGACUUUUCUGAAUUUACAAUUUUUUUUUUUAAUAAUUUAUUCUUUUAUUUUAAAUUUAUACAUUAUAUUCCUGUUGCCUCUUUUUAAUAUCAUUUUUGUUUAAUUAUUUUAUUAAUAUUUGUUAUUGAUGCAAAAACAAAUACCUUACGUAAAUACGCAAAAUACAAAAGCCCGGACAAAGUGUAGAUCUCUACUUGGUAGUGCUAAAAAAUCAUAAUCACAUAUAAAACUUACAUAUAGACAUACAAAAUAUUUGUAUAAAUUUCGGAAGGUUAAAAUUUUAGAGAGCGAAAAUUAUUAUUAUUAAAAAUAUAGUAUUAGAAACUUACAAAAAGCGUGGGAAUGCACAUUUUUGUGCGUUUUAUGGAUAAGCGAAAAUUAUAAGAAUAUUACUGGAAAUUUAUAAUAUUUAACAGCGCACCGCCUGAGUUAAAACACAACAAAAUAAUUUAAAAAAAUGUAAAAAAAUUCACAGAAAAAUAAAAAAAGUAUCUGAGAAGACCGAGCAAUUUUUUUUUUCAGGAAAUAAAAAUAAAGUAGAAAUGCGUAACAUAUUUUUAGGCCAUUGGGCCCCUAACUUAGCAAGGGAUGUAAACUGAACAAGCAAAACUAAGAAAAAAAUACAAAAAGAAACCACAAAUACUCCACACUUACAAAUACAAAUGCAGCAACUAAAAUGCGAAAUUCUAAUAUUCAAGAAGCAAACGGCAAAAAGCAAACAAGAUAAACAAAAUUAUUACAGAAAACAAAAGAAUGCAUAUCAUAGUUGUAAAAAAGAUAAACAAAAACAAAAACCACGUGCUGAGGGCAAAGCGAAACACAAGCGAACUAAAAAGCAAGUAUAAUUAUUAUUGCCGAUUAUUAUUAUGACAGACUAUUAAUACUGAAGAUUGCGAUUACAAAAACAAGAAAUUAAAUGGUGAGUUGGUGGGUGAGUUUUAAAUAGCAAAGACAAACACAAAAAAUGGCGUUAAGAAUAAAACAGUAAAAAAAAAUUAAAUCAGAACGUUUGCGUUGAGGCAAAAACAAAUUCAUAACAAAUGCAAAAAAUUACAAAAAAAAAUUAUAAAAAUGAAAUAUAUACACUUAAAACAACUUAAGUGAGAUGAGCGCGCAAAACGGCAAUGCGUGGCAGGUGGCAAGUAAACACUUAUGUAUGUAUAAACAAAAUGCUUAGUAGCGUCUCAACACCAAACACAUAUUUUCCAAAGCAACACAAAAAAUAAAAACAAAAUUAAAAACAAAUUAUCAGCAGAGCCAAUAAUUCGUUGAAAAAGAAAGCAAAAAAAAAAAAUAAAAACCGAAAUUGUCAACUUUAAAGUUCACGCGCAUAGUCACAAGGCUCAAAUGUGAUUGGUCGAUUGGGUAUUUGGCGUUGAUUGUGACUUAGCAGCGUUGCAGUGUAUAGAAAAGCAUAUAUUAUAAACAAAUGAUAAUUGAAUUAUAUAUUGCAUACACACACACACACAUACACAGACAUAUUGAACAAAAGUAAAUAAUAAAAAAAAACAUACAAAAACCAAAUACAAAUACAAAUAUAAUGAAGCAAAUGAGAGAUAAAAAUGAUAAAAAUUAUAAAAGUGAAAAUAAAAUAUAUAAAAAUGAAAAAAAA